UACAGAGACUGCAAGCGUUAUUCGGAUUCACUGGGCGUAAAGGGUGCGCAGGUGGUUAGGUAAGUCCGAUGUGAAAUCUCCAGGCUCAACCUGGAAAUGGCAUUGGAUACUAUCUAGCUUGAGGAGUGGAGGGGGGACUGGAAUUCUCGGUGUAGCAGUGAAAUGCGUAGAUAUCGAGAGGAACACCAGUGGCGAAAGGCGAGUCCCUGGACACUUCCUGACACUGAGGCACGAAAGCUAGGGGAGCAAACAGG
rnacentral:rRNA from 1 species